GUCUACGGCCAUGCCACCCUGAAUGCACUCAAUCUCAUCUGAUCUCAGAAGCUAAGCAGGGUUGGGCCUGGUUAGUACUUGGAUGGGAGACCACCUAGGAAUACCAGGUGCUGUAGGUG
rnacentral:rRNA from 1 species